rnacentral:lncRNA from 1 species
GACGGGUAUGGUGUCCUGUAGGUGUAAGUUUGUACCUUCGGCUUGAAGCCGAAUUGUUCCUGAAUCACUUCUGCAAUACGUGCCGACCAAUCCGGCUGUUGCUCAUGAACCGUUGGCUGUGGUAUUGGCACGUGUUGGUAAAUCGGAGGUGGAAUAGCCUGAUGCUGAGUGAAAGCAGAUGGCAUUUGAGUGAAAGCCGACUGUGUGUUAAAGGUCGGCUGUUUGAACGAGCCACUCGUUUCAUCAUACAGCACAAGCUCUGC